CUUCCACCUGCUUGGUGUGGUGGUUAAGUAUUAGCGCAGUGGAUUAUAAGAUAAAAUAUGCAGGGGAGACUUGCUGGCUGCAGGACUUUUUCUGGCACUGGUUAUAUUUCUCUGUUAUUCUGCCAUCAGUUUGUUUGUCUGAUGUAUAGGAGAAGGACAGAAAGUCGACUUCAGCAGCUCUCCAAGUUGCGAGUUUUGUACGCUAAUAAAGCCGGCAGCUCCUCGUCCCCUCGCCGCCCCGGGGAAAAGAGCCGCAGAGAGCAGGGACAGCCCAAAGCACAUGCUCAGGCCAUGAUUAGUGGUACCUCCAGAGCUCAGCUCUGGGAUGGGGGAGAGAAGAGAAGAGGGACCUCUGCCUACACGUCUCUGAAUACACGGACCCAUAGAGGGCCCACAAGUCCCAGGAUUUUACCAAAUCCCACUUGUUUUCCGAUCCCCUUGCAAGGAGUAGUGCCACUCCACGGCAGAGCUGGACUGAAGAUCCCGUUAGAUGUUGUGCCCUAAGUGGGACAGAUAUGGGCGGCAGGUCGCGUCUCAGGUCCUCAAAGCAAGCAGCACGUUUCCUCCUCCCUCCUGCCGGUGCUUUCGUUCUGCUUUUCUGCAGCUGGUCCCCGCAGGCAGUGAUUGUCUCCUGAGGAAGGCGGCAGCAAAGACGGCCCACGGGAUUGACAGAUACAUCGCUGAGUCUGGAUACGUUCCUGGAACAACUGUUUUUCUUUCGAAGAAAGUUGCCAUUGAUUGAGGCUGUUGCGACGGAGCCCAGGUAUUUUUGCACUGGAAGGUUUGGGAGUCUUGCUGUCGAGCUGGAGGGGACACGAGCACCGUGUGCGCCAAGGACACGUGGACACCCCCGCUCAUCUGCCAUGAGUAGCUUCAGCCCCUGCAACAAUUUUCGGCCCCUGCAAGUGAGGGUCUGCCUGCCUGCUGCCAUGCCAGCUGGGAAAAGCUGCCCUUCGCUCUCGGUCUUUAAAAUAACUUCUUUUUUUUUUUUUCCUCUGAUGUAAGGAUCAAAUCACAAACAUGAAAGCAAUGUUGUUUGUCGUGUGUGUGUGUUUAAUGCAAUAUCAUCUGGCUGCUGUGAAAGUUAAACUUGCUGAUUGUAGGCUCCUGCACGCUCCUCCGAGCAGCUUCUGCAUGAUAGGAUUACAAUGGCGUGUUUUAGUCUAAGGAGUUUAGACACAAACAGUUAUUAUUUUGAAAUAAAUACAUGCUGGUAAGCGCUAUCAAA